rnacentral:rRNA from 1 species
GACGAACGCUGGCGGCGUGCCUAAUACAUGCAAGUUGAGCGCUGAAGGUUGGUACUUGUACCAACUGGAUGAGCAGCGAACGGGUGAGUAACGCGUGGGGAAUCUGCCUUUGAGCGGGGGACAACAUUUGGAAACGAAUGCUAAUACCGCAUAAAAACUUUAAACACAAGUUUUAAGUUUGAAAGAUGCAAUUGCAUCACUCAAAGAUGAUCCCGCGUUGUAUUAGCUAGUUGGUGAGGUAAAGGCUCACCAAGGCGAUGAUACAUAGCCGACCUGAGAGGGUGAUCGGCCACAUUGGGACUGAGACACGGCCCAAACUCCUACGGGAGGCAGCAGUAGGGAAUCUUAGGCAAUGGACGAAAGUCUGACCGAGCAACGCCGCGUGAGUGAAGAAGGUUUUCGGAUCGUAAAACUCUGUUGAUAGAGAAGAACGUUGGUGAGAGUGGAAAGCUCAUCAAGUGACGGUAACUACCCAGAAAGGGACGGCUAACUACGUG